GGGCCCGUGGGCAGCCUGCCCCGGGCUGUCGCGACUGAGCGGUGAGUCGUAACGGGCGUCCGUGGCUUAGGCGAGAGCAGACCGUAUCGCGUGUUGAGUUGUGUUCAGGGAAGAAGAAGGUGCACUAUCAUGAGAAAUAAAGAAGAAAUGUGCAAAGCCAGAAGAAAUUACGUUCUAAACCUGAGAACUAUUUUGGUUUGUUUUUUAAUGUGCAUUAGUGCGUCAAAAGGGAAUUUUAAACUGUCUACCAUUCAGAAGUUCCAUCAGGUAUCCUGCUAAGUACAAGUGAAGAACUAGACUCUGUUAUAUCCUUCAUAUCCUUUGCUUUUAAUUUAGACUUUGACUGAGCCAGAGGUACAGGAGCAUCUGGGAAGAAUCUGAAUAAAAAAGCAAGACCAGAAAUGGUUACUCAAUUUGAGAGUAGUUUAUAUGCCUGAAGAUAAAGGAAUUGGCUUUUGAUUAGGGAAAAGGGACAGCUUUUCAAAUGAAGUUCCGAUUGCAUGAGUUCAAGCACACAUUUUGGAAACUUCUUCAAACAACUGAAAUUCCUGCUCUCAGCUGCUUUUUUCCCAGUUGACUGGGAAUCCAAGGGCUGGUGUGCACAGCUGAAAAUUAAAAUCUUAGAAUCCCAUUUUAGUGCCCUAUUAUCCCACUCUUGGUUUCAGUGAAGUUUCCAUAGUAUAUCCCAGGUGAUGAUGAUGUAUUUAGAAGGCACAUUCUUAGCCAGGAAGCCCAUUCUGCAUCAGAACAUGAAAGAUAUGUAAGCAAAGUGAGAAACCUAAGUCCCAAAAGUGAGAAUUAACCUUCAGUAAAAUUAAUAAAUACUGGAGUAACUAUUCAGCUGUACACAGUUAACAUCACAUGAAGUCUUUGAAGAUGAUUUUUGGAGCAAUGUGUGAGAUUGUGAGUUGGAUAGAGGGAGUGGAGAACAAGUGUUUGGAUUUUGUUUUGGUUUUAAUUCUAGCUAAAAAUCAAAGGGUAAAAUCAAAGAACGUGUUAGUCCACUGACUGAUGUUUGUGUGUCAUUUGAUUUCAUUGUUUUCUUCUGUUUGAUCUGUAUACAUCUGCCGCUGAUUCUAAGUUUAGGCAGAGGUGGUCUCUUUUAAUCUGCAUUUGUGUAGCAGCUAACACAGAGAGCCCCUGCUCUGUGCACGGAGCUCCUGGACACUGUUGCAGUGUAAAUGAAAAUGAAAAGGGAAAUACUCUUUCACGAGGGAGUGUUCAAGCGUAGGCAAACCAACCUGCAUAUACUUUGCACAGAUGGCAGCUGUGUAAAGCAAGGACAUAUCUGAGUCAGUGUCAGUCUGUUCCCCUGUAGAUGGUGCCCCUAGUUCAGGGAUUCUCUCUUGGGUUGAAAAAUCUGCAUCCCUAAUCUUCCUCCCCACUUUGAACAUCAGUUUUCACUAAAGUGGUGCUCAGGGUAGACUCCAGAAAAAAAUGUGUUUUCAGUGUGGGUAGGACAAACUGGACUGAAGUACCGGCUUUCUUUUCAGGAUGAAUCUACUAUAUAAAAUGACAAGCUACUGAACCGUCAGCUUCCAGACUGCCCAGAUAUUAUCAGUCUCCAAUCUUACCUUCUGGUGUUAGACAUUAUGGCUUCCCCAUGUAAAAUUUCUAAUCACUGGUGAGCAUAUGCAUCAUAUGGAUGACUGUGUAAUAAAAAGGAAUGGGAAGUGGGAUUUCUAAUUUAAUUUUGUGGAGCUGACCUUCACAAAGUGCAAGGAAGACCUGUGUAAUGGCAGUCAGUGUUACCUCUGAGAACAGGGAUGAGACUUAAACAAGGACUUUUCAAAUGGAUAUGCAUGAUUGCCACAAUUGCGUAAGAGAGGACAUUCCAUUGUCUCCAAUAUAAAAUAGGGGUAACUUUGGAUGAACACGAAUGAAUUGCUUGUUAAGUGCAAAAUAUGCUUAUAUUUACACUAACUUGAGAGUGGAAUGAGGGCGAAUAACAUAUGUAUUAGAAUAUAGCACUGAAGUGUUGAGUAAAACCUUAUGGCUUCAGGCUACCUGAAUUUCAUGUCUCUAAUUUGAGAUCUCCACAAAGCCUUCAUGGUGAAGCAGACAUAUAACAAAGAUCCCUCAGAAAGCCAGCCCAGCCAUGAAGCUUGGCAAGUUCUACCAUCUAACUAUGCAGAGCAGGCCAAGAACAUCCCUGUGAAGAAAAAAAUGGGAUGGUGUUACUCAGGUAAAAAAGUAGUUAAUGUAUUUUAAAUUUCAGAAAUUACUUCUGAAUAUCAGUAGCCUGAUAAAUAAUUCUAAAGGAACUUUAUUUUUAUUUAGCUCACAUGAUCAUUGCAUUCAAAUGGCACAGUGAAAUUACCCUAGUAUUUAUAUUUAAAAUGCCAAACCAUAGGAGUGUCAGGAUUUUUUUUACAGUAGUCACCAUUUCAUAAUAUUUUCUGUCCUUUUUUUAAAAUGUAUUUACUUUCUUACAGAAAUGUAGUCACUGUACAAUUCUGAUGUUUAGAAUACUGUUGGGCUUAAAAGCUUGCAAAACACGUGGCUAAAUGAACUGGAAAUUACAUAUCAUUAAUAUAAUUAGGAGAAAAGAUUUUUUAAUUUUGAU